UACGUAGGGAGCAAGCGUUGUCCGGAAUCAUUGGGCGUAAAGAGCGCGUAGGCGGCCCUGUAAGUCCGUUCUGAAAGUCGGAGGCUCAACCUCCGAAAGCGGAUGGAUACUGCAGGGCUAGAGUCCGGAAGAGGCGAGUGGAAUUCCUGGUGUAGCGGUGGAAUGCGCAGAUAUCAGGAGGAACACCAACGGCGAAGGCGGGAUCCUGGGCCAGUACUGACGCUGAGGAGCGAAAGCGUGGGGAGCAAACAGG
rnacentral:rRNA from 1 species